UACGAAGGGUGCUAGCGUUGUUCGGAAUUACUGGGCGUAAAGCGUGCGUAGGCGGUUUAGCAAGUCGAUUGUGAAAGCCCAGGGCUCAACCCUGGAAUUGCAAUCGAAACUACUUUGCUAGAGUGUGGUGGGGGAUAGUAGAAUUCCUAGUGUAGGGGUGAAAUCCGUAGAUAUUAGGAGGAAUACCAGUGGCGAAGGCGACUAUCUACACCAUUACUGACGCUGAGGCACGAAAGCGUGGGGAGCAAACAGG
rnacentral:rRNA from 1 species